rnacentral:rRNA from 1 species
UUUAGCUAGAGUAUGAUAGAGGAAAGCAGAAUUUCUAGUGUAGAGGUGAAAUUCGUAGAUAUUAGAAAGAAUACCAAUUGCGAAGGCAGCUUUCUGGAUCAUUACUGACGCUGAGGAACGAAAGCAUGGGUAGCGAAGAGGAUUAGAUACCCUCGUAGUCCAUGCCGUAAACGAUGUGUGUUAGACGUUGGAAAUUUAUUUUCAGUGUCGCAGCGAAAGCAUUAAACACACCGCCUGGGGAGUACGACCGCAAGGUUAAAACUCAAAUGAAUUGACGGGGACCCGCACAAGUAGUGGAGCAUGUGGUUUAAUUCGAAGAUACGCGCAGAACCUUACCAACACUUGACAUGUUCGUCGCGACUCUAAGAGAUUAGAGUUUUCGGUUCGGCCGGACGAAACACAGGUGCUGCAUGGCUGUCGUCAGCUCGUGUCGUGAGAUGUUGGGUUAAGUCCCGCAACGAGCGCAACCCUCACUUUUAGUUGCCAUCAUUUAGUUGGGCACUCUGAAAGAACUGCCAGUGAUAAGCUGGAGGAAGGUGGGGAUGACGUCAAGUCUUCAUGGCCCUUACGUGUUGGGCUACACACGUGCUACAAUGGCAUUUACAAUAGGAAGCAAGAUGGCGACAUCAAGCAAAUCCUAAAAAGAUGCCUCAGUUCGGAUUGUACUCUGCAACUCGAGUACAUGAAGCUGGAAUUACUAGUAAUCGCGGAUCAGCGCGCCGCGGUGAAUACGUUCCCGGGUCUUGUACACACCGCCCGUCACACCAUGGGAGUUGGUUCUACCUUAAGGCAAGGUUUAAAACCCUUGACUACGGUAUAGUCAGCGACUGGGGUGAAGUCGUAACAAGGUAAC